AACGAACGCUGGCGGCGUGGAUAAGACAUGCAAGUCGAACGGGAUAACGUCUGUAGCAAUACAGGUGUUAUUUAGUGGCGAACGGGUGCGUAACACGUGGGCAAUCUGCCGAGAAGUGGGGGAUAGCUCGCCGAAAGGCGAAUUAAUACCGCAUAUGAUCAGCUAAGACAUCUUAGCGACAUCAAAGCCGGGGUAACCUGGCGCUUCUUGAUGAGCCCGCGGCCUAUCAGCUAGUUGGUGAGGUGACGGCUCACCAAGGCUAUGACGGGUAGCUGGUCUGAGAGGACGACCAGUCACACUGGAACUGAGACACGGUCCAGACACCUACGGGUGGCAGCAGUCGAAGAAUUUUUCUCAAUGGGGCAACCCUGAAGGAGCGACGCCGCGUGGAGGAUGAAGG
rnacentral:rRNA from 1 species